rnacentral:rRNA from 1 species
GUCCUACGGGGGGCAGCAGUGGGGGAUAUUGCACAAUGGGGGGAACCCUGAUGCAGCGACGCCGCGUGGGUGAAGGAGCGUUUCGGCGCGUAAAGCCCUAUCGGCAGGGAAGAAAAUGACGGUACCUGAGUAAGAAGCCCCGGCUAACUACGUGCCAGCAGCCGCGGUAAUACGUAGGGGGCAAGCGUUAUCCGGAUUUACUGGGUGUAAAGGGAGCGUAGACGGCCAGACAAGUCUGAAGUGAAAAUCCAGCGCUUAACGUUGGAAGUGCUUUGGAAACUGCCGGGCUGGAGUGCAGGAGGGGG